rnacentral:lncRNA from 1 species
CAGACACGGUACCUGCGCGGUAACAGUUGGCACAGAGUGGUAAUAAUAAGACCUCCUGAACUGGCCUCGAUAAAUAAGCCAAAAGCUAGACAGUGAAGAUCGAGUCAGGUAAGAGAGUCAUGAAUAAGUGUUUACAUGGACGCGUUUCGGAAUAACGCUUGGCAUAAACCACCCCUCUUGAUCGGAAUGCAAUUUCUUUCCGAUUGAGCCGAAAAUGAUCAGAAUCCUCCGAUCGGCAUGUUUACAUGACGCAUUUUUAUUCCGAUCGGACAUUUAUUCCGAUUAUUUGUGCCCAUGUAAACAAAGCUAACGUUUUUGUCACCAGUGCAUCAAGCCUGUGCCUGAACAUAGCCAAAAAUAAUCAACUCACUGUUCUUUGUAUUUUUCCUGGUUUGCCAUUUUGUUCAUUGCUGAAACAUAGUGCUAAGUGCCUCACAAAUAUCUUGGACAAGAUGAGUACCCAAAGACAGUUAUUUUCUCUAAGAUUAGUUUUCAGGAUUUUGGACUACAACUGAAGAGGACUGGACAGUGGACUGCUGAGGAAGUGGGGCAAGAGUAGGGAGUGACAUGUGGGAAAGUAGCCACAGGUUGGAAGUGAACCCAGGCCGUCUGUGAGACGAUUACAAUAUCAAGAUAGUCCUUCAGCAAAACAGAGACUAGUCUGGAUAUUGUUUCGGAAAUGACAAAGGCAACUGUGCAAACCAGUUUAGGCAGCACCCUGGGGUUUAUUUUCCUGAUGAAGGAAAAACUGAUGCAACAUAAUUAUAGAGAGGAUUGAACGCUUUGAUUUGAUCAUGAUGAGAGAAUUUUGCAUAAAGAUAAUCUUUUCAUGCUUUCUGCCCCACGAUAAAAGACUGGAAGUUUCACAGCUGGAAGAAAUGUACAGAGUGUAGACGAUCAUGACAUUUGACAGGGUUAAAGUCUUAAAAUCUGGCUUAGGUCAGCUGUAGCUUAGCAGGAAAAGAAAGUUUGAUGUUGCACAAGGAACUAUUCCCAAAUCGGAUGACUCACUCAGAGGCAGAAAGUUCUUCUAGGGUCCAAACGGAGAAGACACAAAACUGUGCACAUGACCAAUCUCUGCAGCUUUAUGUCUCUCUAAUAGUCUGUCUUAGUCCACAAAUCCUUUUUAGCAUAUCUUUAUAGAUACACACGGAAAAUAGAUCUUUGAGCUCUUCUGUAAACAAGGUCUUCUUUCUUUGGCCAAACGACAAUCUUUUGCUGGCUCUGGAUCUCUGGUCUCUAGACAGAGAAUUGAAGAGAAAUCCACAUCUGCUCAUCUGUAUAUAAGAUUGACAGACUGACUGACAUUACAAGUAAAGGCCAAAAUAAGCAUCUAUUUUGUUUCUGGUCAUAGUAGAUAUUAGAUGCUUAGCUUUGGCAAUGUUGAGCUCUUUUCUUGUCCAGUCUUACCAAAUCCAGCAGCUGGUUUCCUCUGCUAGACAGACAGCAGAGGCAGUCCUGUGACUUUGUCAUUGGCUGAAGAAAGCAUGUUUCCAAAGUCAGAUGUUUUAAAAUCUGUCGGGUUUGUGCCAUAAAACUUUUGCUCCACUUCUAGAAAAAUGGGAAAUUUGUGUUAUUUUUCUCUACAGCAUCCCCACGAGGUUGCAUAUUAUUUCAUGAACAACUAGCUAGCCAAACCAUCGCGUAGAUCUUUGCCAACAUGGUUAGCUUCCGGUAUUAGCUUCACUGAUAUGAAUGCUCACAGCUAGCACGGCUGUAGACUUGAGGUUUGUUUGUUAUACUGGCAUAUCAGGAAGCUAAUUUAAUGUGUCAGGUUUGAUAUUUUCAUGAGAUUUGAGCUGUUGUGCAUUUUACCUUGAUAUAAAUACGUCAAAAGCAAAACUGUACAGUGGCAUAAAUUGAAAAUUAGACUGAUAAAGUGUCAUUAUUGCUCAAUCAUAAAUGUCAGGAAGCAGAUAUUUUCCUUUUCUGUUAAAAUACAGUAAAAAUAAUAUUUUCGAGCUGUAGUGGAGUUUGAUUUUGUAUGUAUUUUCCUUCUUAUGGCAUGUUUUCAAGGAGAGGAUGUAAUUGGCGCUGCUCAGCACCUGGCAGGUCAGGAAAGAGAAAAAAAAAUGAACACAGAAGGUACGACAAUCAUCAACAUGGCAUGAGAGAAUCAUUACACUGUACUAGACGACAGUGUUGCAUAACGAGGAAAACUCUGGCAGACUGUAAAACACAGACUGUUCAUCAUAUUCCUGCCAAGAUCAACAGAGAGCUGAACUAGUUUGAACCGGAGCUUCAAGUCUUCCUGAGGACUUCCUUUGAAACUAAAUGAGGCCUUAAGAGCCAAUUCUACUUCAGUCACGUGUGCAAAUUAAACCUUGACACCAUGUCAAAAUGUUCGAUAGUAAAGUGGAAACAGCAACGUUUGAGACAGAAAUCUUCCUAUUACAUAAGAUUGAUGUUUAGCUCCAGUAAUCACGCUGCACGAAGAGUAAUCUACACAGUAUUAAAACAGGAAGCAUUUAUAUCAGCCAUUAUACGAGCACAUCCUUCACAGCUGAACCUCGUAGCUUGAGGUUCAUAUAGAUCUCCCAGCAGCCUUAGAUUGUGCAAUCACUUCUCGUGAAGUUUUAAAAUGCAUGACUUCUGUGUCUCAAGGCUCAUUCAGUUCCUUCCUUCUGUCAUCACAACUUAUCAAAUGAACCACAGCCCCAGUGAAAACUGAUAUUCCCUGCCAGACAGCGAUAAUUAUUCAGCCUCACAACACAAACAAGAGCUCAGGUUUAGGUGGCUGAGUUUCUGUGUAGUAGUCAGAAAUGUUCAGAGCUGGUAACCAUUAAAGUCUCAGUGCUGCUUUCAUCUGUGGAAGCGAGACGUGCUCCUCUCUGAUAUCACCAAAAUUGCGCGCAAAAAGUCUGUGAGAAAACAUGAAAUAUUAUUGUGACCUAGUGAAGCACUGCUCUAAUGUCCAAUUUAAAACAUAAGGCUGCAGAGAUUAAGUAUUACGGCCUUUGAAUCAACAUCUGGUUGUAAUCUGAGCUGUACAGUCUUGGCUACUGAAAGGAGACCAUACAUGUUUUUCCUUUAUUUUUGAAGUUGAUCUGAUUGGAACUGAACAGCGCUUUAUCUUUUAACACAACUUUUGAUUGAUUUAUUCGGAGGAAAGGCCAUUUCAGAAAUAUGUGAGUUUAAACAUGUCUUUCAUGUGGACAAAACCUUAAAAGCUAAAUUUCAGUGGAUGUGUUUUUACUGCCCAAUGAAUGUUUGACAAAGAUUUAAUACAAUCUGUUGCAUGCAAUUCUGGCAUAAAGCAGAGAGUUAUAAAACUCUAACAUGGUAAGAUGUGGCCUCAAUUCUGUUUCCAAUUUCCUAAAUCUUUUACAAAACCAGGGUAUCCAACAUGCCACUGAGCCAAAAGAACUAGCCAGGGCCAAAAACAUGCAGUUAUAUUUUUACAUUUCGUAAUAACAAGCUUUUUUUUAUUCUAAAAAUAACCAGGUCAAUUUUUCUUGCCUUAAAAUCAUCAGUUUUUAUGUGUGUACACCAGUUUUUAAUACCUUGACUGUGACAUAUUCCCAAUUUGUUUCAUAAUUUAAUCUUUUAAAGGGACAUGACAAAAGAGAGACUAGUUUUUGUCACUUGUAAUCAGGGUUGGUCCGUGUUCAUUAAGCACAAAUGAAUUCAUUCUCAUCACUUUGCUUAAAGUUUAUGCUGGAAAUUAUGCUGUCAAAAGAAGACCUGUCUGUGCAGAGACUCUAAAACACAAAAUGUUUUCCUUUGCAGGCAGGAAACUCUGAGGCUGGGAAAGCCAUCAGCUCCAAUUUCAGCAGCGCACACACCAACACUCACAAAUGCACACACAUCCUUGUUUUCUUCUUGUCCACAUCAGCAAUGUCAGGUAGUAUAACCAGUAUGAACAUUAGAUACUUCUGUCAAUUAAAAGAAAAGAUUAUAUUUUUUCCCCCGUUUUGGCUGUUCAGGUUUAAAGGUUGAGUUCCUCCAUCAAUAAUGACAAAAAUGGGAAAAAGAGACUGUGGAAAUGUUGCUGUACUUACUUCACAAGGAUGCACAGUUUCAGUUGCACAAUUGACCUGUGGGGUUUGCAAAUAUAUAAAAAAAAUCUGAGCUAGUAUAAAUUGAGAUUAUGAUUCAUUUUUGUCUAUAUUUAUUCUUAUAGCAUUGAAAACAUCUUUUUAAUAAGUAAUGUAUAUCUGUUUACUGCUGUUGGUUAGUUUUUGUUGAGCUCUCUGGUUUCUGUUUCUUUUUUAACAAUGGUUUCCUUCAUUCCUCUUCGGCUGGACAUACUCUCUAUAUACAGUAAAACACACAAAAAGGCAAAAAAGUUAAUCAGCUAAUGUUAAGCUUCACUUUUUCUGUUCCUUUAGCAUUUUACAUUCCACAACACGACAGGAGUAUUUGGAACCAAGUCAUCAAAAUUCAUGUUUUGUUUUUUCCUCAAGAGCAACUUUCUGUUUGGUACUUUGACACCGCUCAUGACAGUGCUGCUCUCUAGUGGUGGUUUUAUUUUGAGCUCCACAAAUUAAGAACAUUGGAAAACUGUUGAUAUGGUUGAGUUCAACGCUGUCUUGACUGUGAGAUUUUUGCUUUUGUUUUUGUUUUAGGCAAGCCGAGACAAGUCUAAAGCAGAUUUUGGCAACAAGUGCCUAACGCCGACAACAGAGGAAUCCUAACAGAGGUCAUAAGUCAUCAACACCAAGUUGGUUUGUUAUUUAUACCCCAUUUAUUGAGAUAUUUGAAACUGAGAAUUUCUGUCAAACUGAUUUAUAUUUGGAAUCACAAGCUUCCCCUGAUCACCAGUAGGUGUCACUAUUUGGUAGUAUAUCUCUAACACCAACAUCCACGAAAUGACAAAUGAGAGUUCAUAUGAGAUCCAUCAUUCAAAGCAAAAAUCACACCCAGCAGGGCUCAGGCAUGCUGAAAACAAAAGGUUGCACAGAGUGAACACACGGGCGGCCAGCUGCUCUGUUCAGAGAGCAGGUUCAUAUUAAACCAUGAUGGCUUUUUUAAAGGUUAGCACAAAUGACUUUAAAGGUCAAAACCUGCAUUUUUUUUCCCUGUAGAAGAAAUGUGUUUUUUUUUCUUUGAAUACUAAACCAAAUGGAGUCAGUGUGUCAGAUAUAAGAAUCCAUCACUCUUCUAAAAAAGCUGCAAAUAUCAGUCUCUGGGGGAGAUAAGAAGUGACUCAGAACAGCCACCUCUGAGUGUAAACACAUGUGGACUGGUUACCUCUGCGUGUGGAUGUUAACAUGACUGAGUGUGUGUUUGUGUGUGGCUGUCUCCAGGUGUGAGUUGCCAUCCUGUCCUGGGUAAUGGAUGUAAUUAACUGGUCACUGUAGCAUAGAGUCUUUAUAUACCAUAAGUAAUAGUCAAGCCAGAGCAAAUCACCACGUAAUGGGCAAUUCUCCUCCCAGCAGGGGCACUAAAUGUUUCAUCCCACUUUCUCUAAUUACCCAAUUAAAGCUUAUGUGGCAGAUAUGCUCUCCUGUAUUGUCUUCUGCUUGAGCUUGAUGGUAUGAGAGCCUUUCAGUAAUCAUAUCCUUUCAACAGCAUGAGAAACAAGAAUGUGAAGGAGCAGCACCAUGGGGAAACUACGUACCAGCAUGUACGCAGCAGAGACUUUCCUAUACUGGUGCAAACAAGAACACAUCAAGCAUAAAACAAGAAAUGUGUUUGGUGUAAACACAUUUCCUGGUUGUAGGUCAGAGGACGCAAACACUUUUUUUUAAGUGACAGAAUUGCAAAGCAGCGGUUUCAGCAGGGUUUAUAGACACUUGACUGAGAAUAGUGGGGUUAAUGUUCGUUACAGUCAGCACAUUUACAUGCACAGUUAAAUAAAGCUACGGUCAUAGUUUGAUUAGGUGGUUUAACUGGACUUCUGUCCUUGUCCCAGACUACGAGCACCAGCAAGAAUCAUAUAAUUCAAAGAAGCAUGUUCGCCUCUGCUAUGAUAAGUGCUGACAUACCCUCUCCAAUCCUGCCAUCACCUAGUUCAUGAAUUACGUGUCAAAACAAUCAACAAAAUGAGUUAGCUAUGAAACCCUGUGAGAAAGGAGGGUUUUGUCUGUAUUUACACCCUUUCUUCAGGUGUCGAGGUUUAUUUACACAUUUAUACUAUUCAACUGCCAGCUCAAAGCCUUGCAUGGGAUCAGGUUGUGAUUACACUUAUUCCAGUUCCAGUCCUAUUGAGCUGUGAGAAAAUCAAUCUCCAACCAAAUUAUCUGCAAAUUAGUCAGACUGUUUUAUUAAGUGCAAUUUCAUUCAGACUUGGGCAAAAAGCCAGACUAUCAACAGCUGCAGAUAGGGAUCAAUAUGACCUUGUAAAACCUCUUCUUUUAAUAUGAAUACUGGCAGUAGUAUAUACAAGGACUCUUGUCUCUGUCCUUUUCGCUCACCAAACUUUACCUCAGUUAAAAACUAUUUUAGCUGUGAUUUGCUAAAGGUUUGAACUGACAAUAACAAUGAGGAACACAAAAUUGUUGAGUCCAAGAAUAGUACUAAAACAAAAACAAGGUCUAUGAGGCAAAAAGAAGGGCAGAAAAUUUCCUGAACUGAGUGUAUACUUACACCAAAAUAUCAAUAUAGUGACAAUAUUAAAUUUUCCUUAGGGGAUCAAUAAAGGUCUUCUUGAUUUAUCAAUAGUGGGUAAGAGUUUCUCAAAUUGAUGGUGAUUCAGAUUCAGUGUUAGAUUUAGGGAAUCAGUUGUCAUUAAAUGCAUAGCAAACCAUGUUCCUGCAGAAACCCAGGAGGGACCAAAUCAGAAUCAGAACGCCCUUUAUUGUCAUCAUACUGAAAGUACAAUAAGAUUGGAGAGC